UGCCAGCCGCCGCGGUAAGACGGAAGAUCCAAGCGUUAUUCGGAAUGACUGGGCGUAAAGAGUUGCGUAGGUUGUUUUGUAAGCAAAGCAUGAAAUCGUAAGGCUCAACCUUACAACGGUGCUUUGAACUGCAGAACUAGAGUAUGGUAGAGGUAACUGGAAUUUCUAGUGUAGGAGUGAAAUCCGUAGAUAUUAGAAGGAACACCAAUGGCGUAGGCAGGUUACUGGACCAUUACUGACACUGAGGCACGAAAGCGUGGGGAGCGAACGGGAUUAGAUA
rnacentral:rRNA from 1 species